rnacentral:rRNA from 1 species
AUUGAACGCUGGCGGCAUGCUUUACACAUGCAAGUCGAACGGUAACAGGGUGCUUGCACCGCUGACGAGUGGCGAACGGGUGAGUAAUGCGUCGGAACGUGCCGAGUAGUGGGGGAUAACGCAGCGAAAGUUGUGCUAAUACCGCAUACGUACUGAGGUAGAAAGUGGGGGACCUUCGGGCCUCACGCUAUUCGAGCGGCCGACGUCUGAUUCGCUAGUAGGUGAGGUAAAGGCUCACCUAGGCGACGAUCAGUAGCGGGGCUGAGAGGAUGAUCCGCCACACUGGGACUGAGACACGGCCCAGACUCCUACGGGAGGCAGCAGUGGUGAAUUUUGGACAAUGGGCGAAAGCCUGAUCCAGCCAUGCCGCGUGUCUGAAGAAGGCCUUCGGGUUGUAAGGACUUUUGUCAGGGAGGAAAUCCCUAGUGCUAAUAACACUGGGUGAUGACAGUACCUGAAGAAUAAGCACCGGCUAACUACGUGCCAGCAGCCGCGGUAA